GGGCAGGGCUUGCGAUUGAUGUGCCUCUUGCGACUAGUCCGGGCGGCUCGCGCAUGCGGGGAAGGCGAGGGCUCGCGCCACAGCUGGACGGCGAGGCGCGCGCAGGGCAUGCACUCUCCCUUUCGGCUGCGCACGGGCGUCUCCCCCGGGCGACGUCACCUCUCCCCCGCUCGCCUUGCUCCGGGUUCCCUUUGAUCUCCGCGUUCGGCUCAGCAGGGAGCGAGGAACAAGCGCGCCAGCCAGCGAGGACUUUCUUUUUUCCUCCCUCCCUCGGUCAGAACCGCUGCCGCAGAUCCGCUGCGCAAGGAGAGCCUUGACGGGAGCCUCAACAUUCAGCCAUGACGGACACGGUCGUUGGCAACAGCACUGGUCAGUGGAUGUAUCAGAAUGAUAGACAGAUGGCUCUUCGGGGCGGCGGAAAAGAACAG